rnacentral:rRNA from 1 species
AAGUGGGACUGUCAAGUCAGCAUGGCCUUUAUAUCCUGGGCUACACACACGCUACAAUGGCAGAUACAAUAGGUCGCGAAACCGCGAGGUGGAGCCAAUCCUCAAAGUCUGUCUCAGUUCAGAUUGUAGGCUGCAACUCGCCUGCAUGAAGUUGGAGUUGCUAGUAAACGCAGGUCAGCUAUACUGCGUUGAAUACGUUCCCGGGGUUU